GGAGUUUUCAAUUCGAAAGGUUACAAGAGA
rnacentral:piRNA from 1 species